UACAGAGGGUGCGAGCGUUAAUCGGAAUUACUGGGCGUAAAGGGCGCGUAGGUGGUGAGAUGUGUGUGAUGUGAAAGCCCCGGGCUUAACCUGGGAAGGGCAUCGCAAACUAUCUGACUGGAGUACAGGAGAGGGUGGCGGAAUUUCCGGUGUAGCGGUGAAAUGCGUAGAUAUCGGAAGGAACGUCAGUGGCGAAGGCGGCCACCUGGACUGAUACUGACACUGAGGCGCGAAAGCGUUGGGAGCGAACAGG
rnacentral:rRNA from 1 species